rnacentral:rRNA from 1 species
AUGGAUGGAGACGGCUUCGACGUUUGGGGUUCGCAGCCAUCGGCAAGCGGCCCUGCUACCCAUGCCGGUCUCGACCUCAACUCGCAAGCACCGGUGUCGGAGGGGUUCCCGGGGCUUGGGCUCUACGGAGCCUUCCUCCAGAGCGAUGAUGACGAGCUCCUCCCUGGGCGCGUCAGGGGCUCCGGGCUCCCUCCCUAUCGCCCACCCUACGCCCGGCGACUGAACUUCGGCGGCUCCUCAGCGGCGGCAGCCGGUCGCGGAGGAGGAAACGGUGGCAUGUUCCUUGGCGGGUCGUCGUCGGGGGCAGGCGGCGGUGUUCGGCAGCGCGCCAACUCGGCCGCCGCGGCACCCAGCCGCCGUAACCAGCGCACCGGCACGGCGUUCAGUGGCGGCGACGUUCGGCAGCGCGCCAACUCGGCCGCCGCGGCACCCAGCCGCCGGGCACCAAGGAGUGCUGUCCGUGCGCAAGCAUCCGGCUCUGGCGCUCCCUUUGACAAUGGUGAUGAAGAAUUGGAGGAUGACGUGGAAGAGUUUGCGAGCUCCGGAGGUCCCUCGGUGAGCCAAAACAAUCGAGCCCAAUGGAAUGAUGCUAAUAGUGCUUGCUUGUUAGAAUUGUGCAUUGAGCAACGUGCAGCAGGAACGUAUAAUGGUGUAACAAUGACUGCUGAAGGGUACCAAGCUGUUAUGGACGGCUUACUUGCUAGAAGGGGGUUGGUGUAUUCCCGUGUGCAGGUGAAGAACCAGAUAGUCGUACUCAAAAACACCCACUCCUUUUGGCGAUACAUGCAAGUGCACACAGGGUUGGGGAGGAAACCAGAUGGAACCAUUGAUGCCGACUCUGAGUUCUGGAUAACACACACAGAGAAGAAACCAUACCUAAGGAAGUUGCAGUGGGGUCCUCCAGCAAACGAGGAGUUGCUUGAUCAACUGUUCAGAGGUUGCACCGUGGAUGGAAGCACAGCCUUUGUGCCUGGAGAUGAUUAUGGUCAGACUCAAGGGCAAGAUGCAGGGGCAGAAGAGGAGUUUCAAGGAACACCUACAAGUACAAGCAACCAGAGGAGCCAGAGGGGCAAGAGGUCAUUAAGCACUUCAAGCACUUUGACUAGUCCAUUGAAGAAGAGCAAGAGCCCAAUGGUGAAAAUUGUCAAGGACAUAGCCAAUACCUACAAGGAGUCUGUCGCAGCCAACACUAAGCAAAUGCAGAAACGUGCAAAUGAGAAGGCUGCAUUUUCUGUGAAGAGGUGUCAGGAGCUGGCAUUUGAGUGCGGUGUUCAGCAAACAGUUGACUCUGUCUAUGCUAUGUCCAAGAUGUUCGAAACGGAGUACCAAAGGGAGUUCUUUUGUGGCCAAUUAACUGCUGAGCUUAGGUUGGGUUACUUCAAGAAAUGGAAGAAGAUCAUGUCCCCAUGA